AAUGAACGCUGGCGGCAGGCCUAACACAUGCAAGUCGAACGGAUCCUUCGGGAUUAGUGGCGGACGGGUGAGUAACGCGUGGGAACAUACCCUUUGGUACGGAAUAGCCUCGGGAAACUGGGAGUAAUACCGUAUGUGGUCGAGAGACGAAAGAUUUAUCGCAAAAGGAUUGGCCCGCGGUGGAUUAGGUAGUUGGGGGGGUAAUGGCCUACCAAGCCGACGAUCCAUAGCUGGUUUGAGAGGAUGAUCAGCCACACGGGGACUGAGACACGGCCGAGACUCCUACGGGAGGCAGCAGUGGGGAAUCUUAGACAAUGGGGGAAACCCUGAUCUAGCCAUGCCGCGUGAUCGAUGAAGGCCUUAGGGUUGUAAAGAUCUUUCAGGUGGGAAGAUAAUGACUGUACCACCAGAAGAAGCCCCGGCUAGCUCCGUGCCAGCCGCCGCAGUAA
rnacentral:rRNA from 1 species